GGGGGCGAACCGGAUUCGACGGGGGUAUGGAAGCUCAAGUUGCGUGCCGGGGACCUGUAACCUCGCAAAAAAGCAGGACAAUUACAAACGCCGACUCUGAAUACGAGUACGCACUGGCCGCAUAAGACGGCCACAUCUUUCUCAGCCUUCCUGUAAGCCGGGAAAAGAUGCAAUUUUUACAGGAUCGCUUCUCAGAAGAGCUUACCUCUUGGGAAGUUAAAUUUCUGUAAGCUAACCGAAAGAUACCCUGCCUGGGCGGGGAUUUUUCGGUGAAAAUAAAAAAGCCUAGGCUACGCACGUAGACGCUUGAGUGGAAUGCUUUCGGACGCGGGUUCGAUUCCCGCCGCCUCCACCA
rnacentral:tmRNA from 1 species